rfam:Aedes aegypti strain Liverpool supercont1.1861 genomic scaffold, whole genome shotgun sequence.
GGCUCGGUAGCUUAGUUGGUAAAGCGCUCGUCUAGCAUAGAAGAGUCCUGGGUUCAAAUCCCAGCCAAGCAC